UAGAAGUGACCUUGAUGAUCACUCAAUAAAUUAUAAGGUAUUAUGUGAAAUUUAAAGUUCCAUUUUAAAACGUUAAAUUCUUGGCUGGUAAUAAUAGCUUCAAACUUCGAUGCUCUUAAUAUGACUGUUGAUAAUAUGUUUUCCUUUCCUGCUAAGAACAUAUAUAGUAAGUGAAAUUUUAAGCAUGUUUUCUACUCUAGGAAAUUAGCCCUGAAAUUAUAACAAAGCUAAGGAAACCGAGUAAAGGUACAGGUAUUAUAUGUAAUCUCUCCAGUUGUCUGUGAGAGACAGAAGGGAAUACAGAAAUGGUUUAAAGGUUUUCUAAACUAGAUUGAGUUUAUUCAGACAGAAAUUCUUACACAGGAUGAAACUGAAAGUUUCUAAAAAUUUAAGAAUCUCAUAUUAAACAGGACCAGGAUGGGAAGAAGAGAAGGAAGUGAGCGAGCGGCUGUGUGGUCCUGAAUUACCAGCUGGGCUUAAACCACAAAGACAGCUAUUUCAUCUGCUGACAAAUAGGGAAUUGCAUAAUGCAGUAGUUCUCAUUUCAGUCAAAUCUGCAUAAGUUAUAGUACAGACUUCAAGUCAACAGGAUUUGUGUUUUAACAAGUUGGUUAUUAUUAUUAGAUGAUUAUAUUAAUCAGUGUGAUGAGUUUCUAAGCUUUAUUAUUCCAGGUAAAUGCAACCUUCUAAAAGUUAAGUGAGUAUCUGUCAGUUAUUCAAAGCUGCUGGAUUCAGUUUUCAGCCAAUGUAUUUCUAAUCAGUUAUCGGUUAAAAAUAAAAAAAUAAAUAAGAAUUGUACAUUUUAAUCUUCUAUACUGCCAAUAUUUAA